UACAGAGGGUGCAAGCGUUGUUCGGAAUUAUUGGGCGUAAAGCGCGUGUAGGCGGCUUCGUAAGUCGAAUGUGAAAGCCCUCGGCUCAACCGAGGAAGUGCAUUCGAUACUGCAGAGCUUGAGUGCCGGAGAGGGUGGCGGAAUACCCGGUGUAGAGGUGAAAUUCGUAGAUAUCGGGUGGAACACCAGUGGCGAAGGCGGCCACCUGGACGGACACUGACGCUGAGACGCGAAAGCGUGGGGAGCAAACAGG
rnacentral:rRNA from 1 species